ensembl:snoRNA SNORA70 Small nucleolar RNA SNORA70
UUGCAGCCAUUAAGCCGACUGUGCUCUUUUCCCCAUGGGGGCCCAGUGUGCAAUGGCUGCAAAUAGCAGGCUCCUUGGUAGUGUAUGCAACCUGUUGCCUGUACAGGCUGCCCUAAGGGACCUUGGAGACAACU